CAUUUCACUGUAAGGUCUACUACACCUGUUGUAUUCAGCAUUUCACUGUAAGGUCUACCUACACCUGUUGUAUUCAGCAUUUCACUGUAAGGUCUACCUACACCUGUUGUAUUCAGCAUUUCACUGUAAGGUCUACUACACCUGUUGUAUUCAGCAUUUCACUGUAAGGUCUACUACACCUGUUGUAUUCAGUAUUUCACUGUAAGGUCUACUACACCUGUUGUAUUCAGCAUUUCACUGUAAGGUCUACUACACCUGUUGUAUUCAGCAUUUCACUGUAAGGUCUACUAGACCUGUUGUAUUCAGCAUUUCACUGUAAGGUCUACUACACCUGUUGUAUUCAACAUUUCACUGUAAGGUCUACUACACCUGUUGUAUUCAGCAUUUCACUGUAAGGUCUACCUACACCUGUUGUAUUCAGCAUUUCACUGUAAGGU
ensembl:lncRNA